GAUGAACGCUAGCGGCAGGCUUAAUACAUGCAAGUCGAGGGGCAGCAUGAAUGUAGCAAUACAUUUGAUGGCGACCGGCAAACGGGUGCGGAACACGUACACAACCUUCCUAUAAGUGGGGAAUAGCCCAGAGAAAUUUGGAUUAAUACCCCGUAACAUAAUGAUGUGGCAUCACAUUAUUAUUAUAGCUUCGGCGCUUAUUGAUGGGUGUGCGGCUGAUUAGAUAGUUGGCGGGGUAACGGCCCACCAAGUCUACGAUCAGUAGCUGAUGUGCGGGCAUGAGCAGCCAAACGGGGACUGAGACACGGGCACGACUCCUACGGGAGGCAGCAGUAAGGAAUAUUGGUCAAUGGACGCAAGUCUGAACCAGCCAUGCCGCGUGAAGGAUUAAGGUCCUCUGGAUUGUAAACUUCUUUUAUCUGGGACGAAAAAAGGCUAUUCUUAGUCACUUGACGGUACCAGAUGAAUAAGCACCGGCUAACUCCGUGCCAGCAGCCGCCGUAACAC
rnacentral:rRNA from 1 species